AAGCACUUUACUGGGCUAUUACUAACACUCAGAGACGAAAGCUAGGGUAGCAAAUGGGAUUAGAUACCCCAGUAGUCCUAGCCGUAAACUAUGGAUACUAGAUGUUGAACAGAUCGACCUGUGCAGUAUCAAAGCUAACGCGUUAAGUAUCCCGCCUGGGAAGUAUGCGCGCAAGCGUGAAACUCAAAGAAAUUGACGGGGGCCCGCACAAGCGGUGGAGCAUGUGGUUUAAUUCGAUGCAACGCGAAGAACCUUACCAGGGUUUGACAUGAUACGAAUUUCUUUGAAAGAAGAAAGUGCCGUUUGGAACGUAUACACAGGUGAUGCAUGGCUGUCGUCAGCUCGUGUCGUGAGAUGUUGGGUUAAGUCCCGCAACGAGCGCAACCCUUGUUUUUAGUUGCCUUUUAUGGAACUCUAAAAAGACUGCUGGUUAUAAACCGGAGGAAGGUGGGGAUGACGUCAAGUCAGCAUGCCCCUUACACCCUGGGCUACACACGUGCUACAUUGGGCGAGACAAUGAGAUGCAAAUCUGCAAAGACUAGCUAAUCUAUAAACUCGUUCUAAGUUCGGAUUGCAGGCUGCAACUCGCCUGCAUGAAGGUGGAAUCGCUAGUAAUCGCUGGUCAGCUACACAGCGGUGAAUUCGUUCCCGGGCCUUGUACACACCGCCCGUCACACCAUGGAAGCUGGUUAUACCCGAAGUCAUUACUCUAACCGUUUGGGGGAGGGUGCCUAAGGUAGAAUUAGUGACUAGGGUGAAGUCGUAACAAGGUAACCGUA
rnacentral:rRNA from 1 species